rnacentral:rRNA from 1 species
CGAGGAAACUUGUGCUAAUACCGGAUAAGUCUUUACGGAGAAAGCUUUAUGCACCAUUGGAUGAGCUUGCACUUGAUUAGUUUGUUGGUGGGGUAAUGGCCUACCAAGACUGUGAUCAAUAGCUGAUUUGAGAGGAUGAUCAGCCACAUUGGGACUGAGACACGGCCCAAACUCCUACGGGAGGCAGCAGUGGGGAAUCUUGCACAAUGGAGGAAACUCUGAUGCAGCGAUGCCGCGUGAGUGAAGAAGGCCCUUGGGUUGUAAAGCUCUUUCGUCGGGGAAGAAAAUGACUGUACCCGAAUAAGAAGGUCCGGCUAACUUCGUGCCAGCAGCCGCGGUAAUACGAAGGGACCUAGCGUAGUUCGGAAUUACUGGGCUUAAAGAGUUCGUAGGUGGUUGAAAAAGUUGGUGGUGAAAUCCCAGAGCUUAACUCUGGAACUGCCAUCAAAACUUUUCAGCUAGAGUAUGAUAGAGGAAAGCAGAAUUUCUAGUGUAGAGGUGAAAUUCGUAGAUAUUAGAAAGAAUACCAAUUGCGAAGGCAGCUUUCUGGAUCAUUACUGACACUGAGGAACGAAAGCAUGGGUAGCGAAGAGGAUUAGAUACCCUCGUAGUCCAUGCCGUAAACGAUGUGUGUUAGACGUUGGAAAUUUAUUUUCAGUGUCGCAGCGAAAGCGAUAAACACACCGCCUGGGGAGUACGACCGCAAGGUUAAAACUCAAAUGAAUUGACGGGGACCCGCACAAGUAGUGGAGCAUGUGGUUUAAUUCGAAGAUACGCGCAGAACCUUACCAACACUUGACAUGUUCGUCGCGACUUUAAGAGAUUAAAGUUUUCGGUUCGGCCGGACGAAACACAGGUGCUGCAUGGCUGUCGUCAGCUCGUGU